GUGGAACUCAUAGGCCAACAUUUUUAAAUUUAUAAAUAUCGAAGUGUCGGCAUAAAAAAUGUAUUACCAACCAGAAAAUUCCAGUCAGUAGAGGUACUCAUUUAUUAUUAAACAUAUCCGAGAGACAGUGAAUUUUCUACCCCCCAGCUGUCAGUCAGCCUUCAUCGCCAUGACGUCUCACCAGAGGGAUUUUUUGCCAGCUCGAAUUUCAUUUUUCCUUUUGUAUUUAGUUGGAUUCGGAAUAAGAGAGACUGACCAGGACCGGAAAAUUCUAAAUUUUUGGACUUACUACACGAUUUUCAUUGUUACCCUGGGGACAAUCAGUAUCUACAGUGAUUUUUACCACGAAUGGGGAUCUCUGGAUGGGGUGGCGUAUGCAGGGAUCACUAUGUUAACAGCUACGAUAAUCAACGUAAAAUAUUAUUCAACGCUGAUGAAACGCACAUAUUAUGAGCGUCUCAUGCGACUCACGAGGGACAAAUUGUGGGGUCAUGCCCGGAAUGAUUAUGAUAAGGAAGUGCUGGAGAAGUCCGAAAAACACGCGCUCCUCUAUGUGGGGGCUUUUGCAUAUCUCGCAAGUAGUACCGGAGUUCUCUAUAUCGUCGAACCCAUCAUCUAUCAUUUAUGGAAUAAUAUCACCGUGCCCAGCGAUCGCAUGCUCAUCAUUAAAGUUUGGCAAGAUUGGCCAGCUUACGAAUCACCGAAUUUUGAAAUGAUAUACAUUGUCCAGGUCUUUAUUGUAAUACACUUGUGUCUUUUAUACUCCUGCUUCGAGAGUUUUCUCGUUCUAACGAAUACUUUCAUCACUGGACAAUUCACUAUUCUUAAAUACCGAUUGGAAAUUUUAUACGGCCAUCACUUGAUGGAUAGAAUCACCAGCAGUAAUGUGAACAGUGGAGUAAUGGAUGAAGGAAAGGAUAUUUUAAUCCUUGUGUCUCAAGAAUUUAAAAAUUGCAUCAGGCAGCAUCAGUUUUUAAUUUCCGUCACAGAAGAACUUGAAGGGUUGUAUACAAUAAUCAAUUUGGCAUCAGUCUUAGUCCACAGUACCCUGAUCUGUCUGUGUGGUUAUCAAUUGGUUAUGCCAGAGAAUCCACUGAUGAGACGAAUUAAGUUCGGAAUCUACGUGAUAGGCUGCAUUAGCCAACUAUUUUUUUUCUCAUUCACCUGCACCAACCUCACCACGGGGAGUCUCACUGUCGCUGAUGGGCCUUAUAACUCAGCUUGGUAUAAUAAAAAUUCAUCUGAACUGGGUCGAACCCUCACAAGAGAUUAUUCAAUCAUGAUUAUGAGGGCCCAGCGCCCUUGUAGACUGACAGGAGGUGGAUUCUUCUAUAUUACACUGGAUACAGUGAAAUCGGUACUGACCACUGCUUUUUCGUACCUAACGUUGAUGCGACAAUCUUCCAUGAAUUGAUGAUUCUGAGGCUGAUCAGCAUCGCCGGAUCGAACACUUACCCCUCAUUCAAUUAUCCUUCCUUUUCUGGCUGCAAAGAGAGAAGAUUGCAUAACGCAAUUUUCAUUCUGCAUUUUUUGAAUUUUUUCAAAGCAUGCGAAGGACAUAAUUUUACCGGUGUUCAGUAAAAUCAUCAUAUAUGUGACCUCGAUUGGAUUCUAUGUUUGUAAUGUCUUGAAGUGAUCAGACUAUGAAAUUUAGAUAUCUGUUAAUAAACAUCAUCUAAGUAUUACAUAAGUAUUCCUGAUUAUAUGC